rnacentral:rRNA from 1 species
AGUGAACGCUGGCGGUAGGCCUAACACAUGCAAGUCGAACGGCAGCGCAGUAAGAGCUUGCUCUUACGGGUGGCGAGUGGCGGACGGGUGAGGAAUACAUCGGAAUCUACUUUUUCGUGGGGGAUAACGUAGGGAAACUUACGCUAAUACCGCAUACGACCUACGGGUGAAAGCAGGGGAUCUUCGGACCUUGCGCGAUUGAAUGAGCCGAUGUCGGAUUAGCUAGUUGGCGGGGUAAAGGCCCACCAAGGCGACGAUCCGUAGCUGGUCUGAGAGGAUGAUCAGCCACACUGGAACUGAGACACGGUCCAGACUCCUACGGGAGGCAGCAGUGGGGAAUAUUGGACAAUGGGCGCAAGCCUGAUCCAGCCAUACCGCGUGGGUGAAGAAGGCCUUCGGGUUGUAAAGCCCUUUUGUUGGGAAAGAAAAGCAGCAGGUUAAUACCCCGCUGUUCUGACGGUACCCAAAGAAUAAGCACCGGCUAACUUCGUGC